rnacentral:tRNA from 1 species
CAUUGAAUGGCUGAAAUUUAAGCAGUGGUCUCUUAAACCAACAAAUAGUAAAUAUACUUUCAAUGG